UCCUUAGACUGGCCAAUGGUAAUCAGCUUGACGAUAUGCAUCAGGGUCUGCCUGCAAAGGAAAGGCUGUCCUCUUUAGCAUUCAGAUGGGAAGACGUUCAUUCAGCUGGUGGUGUGCUGAACACAAGACCAUGAAUAUGCAAAGUAUAACCAAGUGACUUUGCUUUUAAUUACGCAAGUCAGUGUUCUGAUCCGGUACACCCAUGGCUUCACCUUUGGCACUCUAAUACUAUGCUGAUAAAUACGGAGGGAAAACUUUCUUUUAACAGAAUUUUCAAGAACAGAUGUUCUUCUUUUACUCAAAAGACACUUACAAACAGGAACACGUGACUGUCACUACCAAAACCCUUCUCAGUGUAUUUUCCUCCAUUUCAUGCCAGCUGCAUAUACACCCAUAGGGUGCAAGGCGGAUUCUCGCCACUUCCUCUGCAUUCUAGGCAUCCCACUCACCAUCCUCUGGCUUCCAGGGCGACCUUGCUCUUUCUCUGUCUUUUGCUUUGCUAAGAGUAGCUCCUAAACAGGAUGAAUGCUACUGCCUGGCUUCUCUGCGUUCAUGUCUUCAGAACUCUCCAGCUUCUGUACCUGUUCGAUGUUAUAGUCAGAACUUCCCUCCUUCCCUUUAAAACCAUCCAUCUUGAAUAUUGCAUCAGAGUCUCUCAGACUGGAUUGGAUACAAUAGCUGCCUCCUCUGCAGGUUUCCUGGGCCUCAUCAAAUGCUACGUUUCAUAUUUCAGAUGCCAAUUUAAGGCUUUGGUCAUGAUCUUCAAAGUAAUAAAUGAAUCAAGCCUUAGCUACUUUAAAGGCUGAAUUUCGAUCUGUGAACCAUCAUGACAGCUGCACUUCCUUGGGGCAAUGCCGAUUACAAAACCUAGGAGGAAACAUAUGAAAGGGAAGAACAAGGCAUUCCUAACGGAGAGAAGCCAGCGAUAGGAAAAAUGUCCAGGAGAGAUUCUACAGAUCUAGACCUUAGGAAGCUGAGCAAAACCUUUCUCUUUGAAUCACUCUGAACGUUGAUUUUCCCCUCUGUCCUAGAAGAAUGCCAGCCAACAAACCCACCAGCAACACCCCUACACCAGCAUUAAAGCAAGUACUACUGCAGCUAGGCUUUUUUAAAUAAGAGACCGACCAUAGACUCUGCUACAAGCUGUGCUUUAAAUGCAGGGUUCUCAGAUAUCCAAGCACUGGAACAUCUCUUCCCCAUUGCCUUCAGCUGUGUCAUGGCAUUCACACAAUGUCCUAGUGUUACGAGAUUGUUUGUAUGAGGCAGAUUCAGCAACAAAAAUUAAUGAGAAAGAUUCAAAUAGAAACAAUCAAAUACAGAUGAGUAGUCGCUUCUUUAGGAGGGACUUUCUGUGAAGCUGAUGAUGAAUACAGUGCACAGUUUACUUUUGAAGUUAAACCAGACUUUUACAUUUCUAUUCUAAGCUAAAUUAGUGUAUUUCAGUCUUAGUGUUUAUCCAAACACAAGGGUCCCACUGCUUAAUCUUCCAUGGAGGUUUCAACUAAUUUAGUUAAACUGGUAUAAACACUUCUGUGAAGACUCUUAGUUUAGCUUAUGUCAAUUUGGAAUCUGUUUAUGGCAACCCUAAAUAAGCUAUUCUUAAACUUAACUACAAAAGUCAGCCAGCUUCUUGCACUGAUUUUGACUAAACUGAUUUAAAAUAGAAUCUUAAUGUAAACUAGUGUAACUUUCUUGUAAACUGGAAACUUCUUUGGUAAACUAGAAACUUCGGUGUAGUGCAUGUCACGUCCUCCCUCUUGUGGCUGACACGAGGGUUCACAGUUUUGAGAAACACAUCAAGCCCCUAAAAAGAUGGAUUAGGCUCUCCCUAGCCAUGACCUGGCAACCGGAACAGUAAACUGACAGUUAUUUUAGGGUUCAAGGCGUUAUAAACACAGCUUUAUAAAAACCAAAUAACAAAAUACUUGAAGUUGGAUUAUUACAUACUGUUAAUUUGAAAAAUAGACUUUUUUUUUUUUUUUUUGGAAUAAAGUAACUACUAGGACGUAUCAGUAAGCGUUCUAUUGAAACUACUAAUGCGGGUAUAGCUUGUUCUCUGAGAGACUACUAGAAAAGCAAAUUUGGCAAGGAUGGGUAACCAGGAAUUUGGGGUGGCUUGUUCAAGUUAGGGACAAGGAGAUAAGCUCCGGAGGAGAGCUGAGAGGAGCAAGGCUUGCAGAUUUGAGAUAUAGCCCAGAAACAUUUCCAAACUUGAUGCACACUGCCAUUGCAUCCUCUGAUGGUUGACAAGUGGCUGAGAAGCUGGAGGCAAAGGGGAGACCUGCAUCUCUGUCACACGGCAGUGGUGUGGCACCCAUAUGUGAUGGCAGAUCGUGCCGGCCUUCCUAAUCCAUUCUGCCCAUUCGCAUACCAACUGUGGAAAUACAAACCAGUGUGGCUGCUGGGUGGGGUGAGCUGCACUUCUCACAAAUCAGAAAUAGCUGCCUUAGGCUUCAAUAGAUGCAUAACUGAACUGGAGAAAAUAGGCUCCUGCCUUUAUUUGCCCUUUGCCUGAUUUUUUUAGCUGAUAUAACUGAGCAAUCAUGAUAUGCUCUUCAGCAUGCCCAGGAGAGGCUUGAAGUUGCCAUAGGAUCUCAGUCCUGCAUUCCCAGAUGCAUUUCAUUGUCAUGAUGACUUUACUGACAUUAUUAUAGGGUUUUCUUAAUUUGGAAAUUUGCCUAAAAGGGCUUAGUGCCAGGUGAGUCCUCUCUUUUCCUGCUCCACCCUGCCAGGGUAAAGCUGCCUCUCACAUUCACACACAGCAUUGGCCUACUGCGUACUGUAUACGUUUCAAAGCGUAAGCUGAUAGCUGGUAAUAGUUUUAGAACCGCAAAAUCCCUCUAGUCCUGUCCAGACUGUGAUUGGCCUGUAUGCCAGCAGGAUAAGAGCUCCCAGAGGCCUCCCCAGCCCUUUCUCUGGAGUCCCCAGUUAGGGACUGGCACAGCCUACAUCACCUAGAACUAGUGGGGUGAUUCUCCACUUUCUGGUGGAGAAAAAAGGAAGGAAAGAAGAAAGAGCUUUUCUGCUUAUGCUGUGGCAAACGAACAAAACUUCUGAAGGAAGAAAUGAGCCUUCAGAGAGAAUAAAACACUUGCAUCAUCUGUAAAAUCUAGAAUUGAUUGAGAAACCUUUCCUUGCUGAAGGUAUAACUUUCAAAAUUGUUUGGGAGGCUGCGUGUUAAUAUAUACUUUAUCCAUGCUUCCUUGGCACCUUACACUAGGCUUCUCCACAUCCAUGCUACCCACUUCCAAGCCCAGGAGGUCCCUAUGCCCAGCGCUCUCAUGCUGCUCUGUGCUACCAUACUUCUGUUGUCAAGGAUGCAAAAUCCACCGCUGCUCUACCAGUAGACUCAGGACUGCCCUAGUAUACACCAGUACACAGAGUUCUUCACACUUAGCGAUCCUUGAUUUCCUCUCUUGCCUAGGGAUGCCACAACCCCAUCUUGCUGGGAUGAGAGCACCAGGACUGAGGAAAAUGAAAAGGUUUAUCUAGGGGCAGGGAGGGUCAGGAAAUGGGAAGAGAAGGUGAGAAGAAUCAGAGAGCACUUGUGCAGCAGGGAGGAAGUCCUCCUGUGCCGCUAAGUCUGUGGUUAGGGUCUCAGGUCACCCACGAAAAAGCAUUUGUGGAAAUGAAGUAGAAGAAGGUACAAGAGGCAGGCCUCAAGGAGAGAGUGGCCUAACCUGUAAAAUCCCCACCUUUGAUAUGCCAGGGGUGUACACUCAUCCUCUUUGCCUCUCUUACAAGAAGUAGGGCAGUUUGUGGCAGAGGCAGAAGGCUGUGUGACCAGGAGGCCACCUGGGCUAACUGCUUCUGCACUGGACAGGAGAUAUGCCACAAAGCCAAGAGCAACCAUGGGACAGCAGGAGUAUUAAUGGGAGCUGCGGGAAGAUGCAUGCCUUAGGAGCAGAGGAGAGAGCAGUGGAAGGGGAAGGGGCAGCUCUGGUAUAGGGCAGGGCUGAAAUCUUUGUGUAGACGCGACCAGAACCAAUCAAGUCCCUACCCACGUGAUUAAAAGCUUAACUGUACUCCAUAAGCAAACAGGAUCUGGAGGUCACAGGUAUAUGCAGAUAUAGUCAUGCUACUUUUUGAGCUAUAAGUCAGCAGUUGGCUGUGGUUUUGUUCCUAUGCUGCUAACAUCUGGUGUAAAUUAAAAGUGAACGUUCAGUGAAGAGUUGUCUGGAUUCUCUUCAACUGCUUGGUUCUCAAAACGCUUAUUCUGACCAAUAUUGAGGACUUUGAAGGUCGCGGGUGCUCUUUAGAAAAUACACCAGAUCAAGCUGAACAAUGUACUGUAUGGGUCAGAAAAGGCAGUAGAGGUGUAAAGUUCCCUUUUGUAUCUAUAAUCCUAGGGCUUCUGUGUUCAAGGUUGGAACACUCUUUUUCUCCAUGCUGCUAUAGCCAGAAGGGUACUGGCAACAGCCAAGGGAGCUGAAAUGAUAGUGCAGGACUACCAUAAUGUGAAGGCAUCCCAAAUAUGUCCCAAAACCAUCGGCAGAGGAGGAAGUAUCAGGGCCUCUCCAUCCUCAAGUGUCAUCGUGUUAUACUGGGGUGAUGCCGUAGGCAUGAUACUGGUAGAGUGGCACAAAGAAAAUCCUAAGUUAGAAUAGAGAAAGGUCAUCUUCCAGCGGACCAGCUGAUCAUAACAGAAUACACAGCACCAAUCAAGCAGGGCAUUGCAUGGAUUAAUGCAAAAUAAUCAACAUAGGACAAAGUGCUUCUGUUCUGCUGCAGGGUUGCUGGGAUAAUCAGAAUUUUGAAUCAUUUCUCAUGAUUUCUUUCAAGUCUAUUUUCAAUUAAGCUGUCUCCAAACUUUGGAUUUUCUGAACUUCGGAGGAGUUGUAAACAACCUCAGUCUAACUAGGUUGUACCCAUUGUCAGGCCCCCACAGCUGGGCACAGCUGUGCCUGCGCAGUACUCCUGCGACGUAGCUUGGGUCAAGAUUGAAUGCCCAGACUUUACAGAAUCACUUUCCUUUGCUCUAGAGAAGAACAAAGAACCCACUUGGGGAAGACAGUUGGUUGGGACCCCAAGGAGUUUGGAAAGAUAACAUGUGUAUUGGCAGAACUUUUCAUAUCCUAGCUUGGAGAAACAUGGUCGGGAGAGAGAGAAUACAUGCUUGUUAAAUAUGUAAGGAGUCAGUUCAGCUACAACCUGCUCAGGCUUCUGCAAACACUGGGCUUCCAUUAGGGCAGAACCAGUAUUUGCCUGGUCACCCAGUGGUGACUCAUUGUAGGAUUCAGCCCUGAAAGGAGGAAGGAGGAAGACUGAAUUGAAAGUGAUCCUUUGUCACAGUUAUUCCUAUCGCUUGUUAAAUAGAAAUGUAGGGUUGGAAAGGACUUCAAGAGAGCAGCUAGACCAAAGAUCUGGCUUCAUAGUUCAGUCUUCUCCUCUCUGAUCUUCAGGCACAGUGAAGUGACAACAGUCAGGCAAGAAAUGGCAACAGUGCAGAAGUUAUCCUUGCUGAACAGCAGUGGUUUAAGGUUGGUAUUAGUGGUGUUGAGUCGAGCAUAACAAAAACCUGACAAAACUAUUGCAAAGUUAAGUCUUUUCUGUAUCUAUUAAUGCAACCCACUGCCACCGACAUUUUGGAUAUCCUGCUCACAUGUUUUCCAUUAAGGCAUUAUGAAAUCCCAAAUUCUGAUGCCAGAUGGUUUUGGAUUACUUUGCUUGUAUAAAGGGUUUAAUUUGGGUGCAUGGAAAAUGUAAAAUAUUCCAGUAAUAUCUUUAGCAGGACUACAUAGGUUGCAUUCCCUUUAUUCUUCAGCUAUGCCAUCUGCCUUCUGUACAUUAUAUUCUGAGUCAUGAUAAAACUUUAAAACAUGAAUUCAGAUUUACUGACUUCCCAGAAGAGACUAUGCUCUGUAAAAUGCUUAAAGGGAUUGACGUGAAAGGAAAUGUUCCUAGAGACCUACUACGCUGCGAAACCGCACAGUGAAUUAAAAUAGCCUUCUUCCUCCAAAUACGUGUCUCCUAAGAAUGCGUUCAGCCUAGUCCUGAAUGUGAAGCUAGAAAGAGAGAAUGGGUAAAGGUCAAGCAUAUGGCUGCUGUUCCUGCCAGUAAUCAUUUUGCUUGCUUUACUUGAUGAGCGGAAUGAUCUUUUUAGCUAGUAUUAACCAAUUUUUCAAAUGAUCUUUUCUUGGUGCAACAGAUGAGCACCAGCGUUAUAAACACAGAGUUAACCUGAAAUUAGAUCUGUUGGAAUUCACGCAGUCUGUGCCACGUGGUAUGAACAGAGUGAAAUGGCCCCUGCACAUUCUGAACUUCAUCUUGCAUGGACCACUGUCACAUCAUGUACUACGUGGCUUCUGCCUUGUCAUUAUUCAAAUACAGAAUUAUUUCUUGUAUCCAGUCACACUCCCAAGUGCAAGAGUGAAAUGUUGACCUAGUUAAACCAGUAGCUGUCUAGGAUGUAGGAAUAAAAGUAAACUGGAUUGUAUCUUAGGAGAACACCUUAAAGUGACUUCUUUAACUGGAUGCCACUUUAACUGGUUUGUUUAAACUCACUCUAGAUGGGGAAGCUAGUGACUAGCUAGAGAUAGUCUUUCUCUCAUAUCUUGUUUUACAGUUUUUCAGAAACAAAUUCUUUACGUUCAGGGGUAACACAAAAGUAAAAGUGGGUAUUACUUACAAACAGUUAAAGUUUCAUUCAUCCUCUUGUUCUCAGAGACCUAAAGGGAGGUAGAAUGGUUUGUACAAAGGGAUCUCUAGGCUCUGCUCAACAACUUCUAGCACUUUUCACCCCCCCCCAUUUUCCACAAUAAGUAUAGUUCUGCUAGGUUUUGGUUUAAAACCCAGAAAGAGAGGUGUUAAAUGGAAAAACAAAACAGGAGUUUCAGAUUUGAUUUUGACAAGCUUAAUAUUGCCAAGAAGUCUGUGUUUUUAAUCAUACUGCAUUAAAUGCACUCAAAAACAUUGACUUACAGUACGUUUGAUUAGUGUCCAGCUAGUCUAGAAUAAUUAUUUGGGGAGCAAUUUUCUAUUGAGUUAUUUUGUAAAAAGAAAGCAAAACAAAUAAACUUAAGAGUCUUUCAAGCUGUCACCAAAACCUUUAAGCUCUACAUCUAGAUUUGCACAGAUCUGUGAAUGACCAAUAGCUAUACUGACCUCCAUUACAUAACCCCAGGUAUGUUUCAUCGGUGGUAUAUCCUUACCAAUGCAACCGGAAGUAUCUGCUGAUGUCAGCUAAGACUGUUAUUAAAAUCUGAAAUUUUUUUAGAGAGGUGGAGGUGGGGAGGAGUGAGAAUAAUGUCAGCAGGUAAGUCAUGCAUUAACCAAGGCAGCAUGCUCUUACUGAGGUCAGCAUCACACCCAAGAUGCAGAAAGGCUGACUGCUAUGGAAUAACUCAUAACCUGAAAGCUGAAUAUGUGCUGAUUGGUUUACCCACCUCUUCUCUGAGUUACAGGGUGGGGUGAAUUUCCGAAAGGAGUUUUUAGAACUAAAGAGUCAGUAGGCUUGGAUAUACUGCUAGGAUGGGAAAGUAUGUGAAGCAGACAGUAAAGCUUGAGAUGCAGGGAUUUUGGGCUUUAGGAUCGAUAUUAGCAGAAAAUGCACUUGAGCAGCCUCAGUUUUAAAUGAAUGAUUAGCAUGGGGAAACUUGUUAUGCUUUGGAAAACCUUGGUGCUCAGCCUUAUGCUGUAUCAAUGAUACACUUUUUAAGACCGGAAAGACAGAAAUGUCCCUGUCUUCCUCACUUGGCCAUAUCUCCCACUGUCUAGAGGUAUUCCAGAAAUGGCUCUAGCAUCAUGUAUUAUUUACCAGUGUUUUCCUUCGGAGGACUCUGUGGGUUGUUGCUUGUGACUUUACCAAAUUUUGAUCAUUUGGUCCUACAGUUUUGAAGCUGAAUUCCUUCCCCUGCCUGGCUAGACACACAUUUAGUUUACAUUGGGACAGCGUAAUCAAACUGAUGCAACAGUUUCCAAGGAUGACCCUUUGCUCAGAAGAAGCUCCUGUGACCUCUCUUCUGAGUAAUUCCAGUGCUGCCACGCUUCAGGGUAAGGACCUGCCUACAAUUGCAAUCACUCCUCGCUUCUGAAAAGGUCUCAAAUGUGGAAGCUUCAGGAAUGAAGCAUGUACACUUAGUUGCCACCUGUGAACAGUUUAGUUGAUGUGCCAUGUCUGCUAUCCCACAGGUAUUUUGUGACACAGAUAUGGGUAAAAAUCAGUUACCCAGGCCUCUGAGCCAUGAAAUUGUCCUUUCUCUUUCCUGCUGUCUUCUGUCUCAUUAUCUCCCAGCUUUUGCAACAGGGUAAACAUGGUAUUAGCAUGCAACCCUGAUUCACUUUGAAGGAGGGUGAAAAAAAAAAAGUACUGCAUUAUUUAAUCGAAAGCUAUUGUAAUUCGGUCCACAAAGCUCUUAAAUUAAGGUUGUAUAAAAAAACUUAUCACUAUCGUUUCCCAAUUUUGGAGUGCUUAGUCUGCAACCUGAAUGUUCCUUUAAUAAACCUUUUUUUCACGUAUUCUAAUACCUGGGUUUGUUUUCUGGAUAAAUUUUGUCUAGAAAUUCAGACGCUUUACCAGCGUUCUAGAUUUAGUGUUUCUUGCAGUCUCAGUGCUCAGAUAUGUGGGCCUGAAAAGUUAACAUGUAUCUUCACUGAUAGUAAUGGACUGGCCGAAAGGCACUUUCCUCUGUCAGCAGAGGAAUGUUUAACUCCAUUAAAUGAGAGGAAACCUGCACACCCACACAAAAAGGGAGGCCUUCCUUUUAUACACGUACAAGAGAUUUCUGUAUCCGCCAGAGGAGGACAGAGAAGGCAUUUGCGUAACGUGCCUCCCUAUUCUUCCUUCAGAUUGAAAACCUGCCCAGACUUGCUGGAGUCAUCCCCUUUGGGGAGCAAAGAUUCUCAGCUCACACAGAACAGUUUGGCUGUCGGUCAUGGCAUUGCUAAGCAGCUUUCAGUCUUCAGGACCGUCUGCAACGUAAUUUGCAGAUGUACAAAGCGGGGGGUUACAGUAGGUAACACAACGGAGGUCCCAGAUUCCAGGUCUCCAUUUCAAAUCAAAUGCAUGGAGCUUUUAAUUACUCGUGUAGGCUGCCAGGAGUUUCUUGACCAAAAACCUGUUCAUCGAGUCGACUAAUUCCUAUAUUCGUUUCUGUAUGUUCCAAUGUAAACAUUAGUCACUGUGUGAGCAUCUGUAACAACAGUAGAAUCAGGCAACACCCAAGGUCAUUCCCAACUUAAAAUAUGAAAAUACUUUCUCGAUGUGCUUUCCAUUUGCUAUCACUUUUACCACUCUUCCCCCUGUGAAGGUAACUGUAUGCUGAGCUGCUUCCAGAAAACGAUCAUGACCCUAGCAGGUUGUGUGUUUCAUCCUGGUAUACAUUAGAGAUAACAAACAUGCAGUGAUUUUUGAAAAAAACAAUAUCAUCCUUUUUAAAAUGCAGAAAUCGGUUAAUUCUAUAUAUCCAUUUAUUCUAUUUAUCCUGAUUUUUCUCUUAAUUUCACAUACAACCCCCUUCUUCUAUCCUUUGCUAGAUACCUGUAUUGUGAGUUUUUCAAGCUCUAAUGGAUAAAACCUUCUGGAUGACUUGUUUUACUAGUGUGAUGAACAUACAGAUGGUUGUUUAUGAUAUGAUUAUCCCUAGACUUUCAGCAGCCUAAAUCUGUAGAGUAGAUUGUGACAACGUGGGAAAAAAAAAAUUGUCAGAAGAAACAAAAAGUCGUUGCAUACCAAAUUACGAAUCAGAAAGAACCAGAAAUAACCCACUUCUGUAUGGGCCUAAUGCUUGGAUACAUCAGCUGCCACUGAAUGCAUAUUUAAGGAAUUCUCCUGUUAGGUGUGCAUAUAGCAGUAAACCGAUGAAAAUCCACGACUGUCCUUCUCAAGCAGCCACUAGUCUAAAAACACCACACCAGCAGCACUCAGGGUUGGCUUACUUCUCUUUGACUAUUCAGACCUGUAGAUUCACAUGUAAAAGAGGUCAGAACACCCUGAGGUUAGGAAAGGCCAGAAUUAUGGUAGCUUGUGUGUUCCUUACUCAGUUUCAGCCUGCAUGUAUCACAGUAACAUCAUUCAAGUUCUUAAAUGUAUAAUCAUGUUUCAUUUUAUCGCGCGGGACCCCUGCUUCUUCCAGAGCAAAAGAAGAAUGAUGCAUAUUGUGCAACAUCUGUCUCGAGUCUAGGCUUUAUUUGCUAUACGCUAGAGCAUCUCCACCAAGCCUUCUGCACCCAUGUCCCUGCACACGCAGCCAGUGCCAAACCCUGGCUCCAAAGACAAGAUUCAGAAACACAUAGGGUGAUCAUGUGGUUUUCAAAACACCUUGAGGGGUGCAUUAAGGAACCACCUAACACAAUUAAGAAAUAUGCUUAUGUGCUAUUUUCAAGUUGAGUAGUAGAAUUUGAUGCAUUUAGUUUGAGAAGGAAAGUCUUUUGAGAAGAAAGUGCACUGGCAAACAUAUUUUGAAAGGUCAAAUGUUAAAUGGAAGCCCUUUCUGCGUUCAUACCGGGAAUGAGUUUACUUAAAGAAUUAAGGCAAACUAUAUAUUCCAGAGAGAGCUAUUGCUAGACUCUCUAAAGCUAGACUAAUGUCUAAUGCACCACAUGAUUUUAUGAAUAAUCAAUUCAAGAAGCUGGAAAAGAGAAGAACAGUGAUCUAUCUGUACAGAGCAGAUCAUACCUACUGUGAAUUAUGAACUAUGAAUUUGUAGAACAGACCAUGGUUGCUCAUAUGUAAAUCCUCUUCCUGAAACUCAAGACUUAGCUAUCCACCAAGUUACAUCUUACAUGUUAGUGAGAAGUAGCCUAGUAAAUCCAGAAGGUUCCUUCCAGAGUAAAAAUCUUGCUUACAACAGUGAAAUUAACUCACACAAAAUGAAAACAGGGCGAACCACAGUGAAAAAAUAGUGCAGAGCAGAUCCUGAGUUCAGCCUUUUUGCGUAGUUUUCCAAGGGCCUGGUUUACGAAGGUGGCUUCAAGUCAACAUUAUUCUCUGAAUCUAGGGAUUCAGGGCUAUUUGUCUAUAUUCUAACAGCUAGCAAAACCUGGGACUUUUAUAUGUGCUAGGAGAAAACAGGCCUCUGAAAUCAUUGAAACAGCUUGAGAAUAUUUCAGUAGAAGAAUAGCAGAACCUGGCCAUGUGGGUUGAGAAGAAGAAAAAGCAGCGUCACGUUUUUAGGAUGAUGUCACUUGCUAAAUGCCUGCAUUGAAGAUGAGGAUUUUUUCUUUUUGGCUGAAGCACACAGAUCUGUAAAUUUAGCUUUGUUGUUACAUAAAAUUAGGAGAUGAAAGGAUAUUAUUACACUACUACAAGGAGCGUAGUGUUGCAUCCCUAUCUAAUCCUUAGGGAAUUGUAAUGAAAAGAGUGGAAAUUGGGACUGGUUAUAAGAUGUUUUAUCUGUAAAUACUCACUUUUACAAUUCUGAACAGAGUUUAUUUGCACCGUCAGUGAACCCCAUGCUAUCUUUAAUAUUGCCUCACACAUACUAUUGCUAUAACUGCUAGUUUAUGACAUAAUUAAAGCAACUCCAUUAACUCAGCCCUGCAGCAUAUCUAAUAUACACAUCUUUAUCAUAACUUUUCAUUCUGAUAUGUCUGCUCUGUUGCUUUUUUUACCUUCAAGCCAGGCACCUUUUUAUGACCUUUUACUGAUCCUCAGCUUGUAGUUUCUCAUGCAAUUAAAGUGAUACAUGCCUAUUUUUAGCACGUAAAAAUAUUCUAGGAACUAAAAAACUGUUGGUUAUCUCUGUUGGUUGAGCCUGAUUGUUUUCAUUUGUUAGUUGGUUGAAAUUAACAUGGAAUUCAGUUAUCUUUUUGCUGCUGAUAAGGUUUACAUUUGUAAAAUACAUUUCUGCCUUGACUUUGAGUUACUCACACUGCUCCUUCCUGGCAGGCACACCCCCAGCCUUGCUUUGCACAGCAUUAAAUAGACUUUUUUUAAAUCAUCUUUUGGUUACCAAAAGAGUAUUUGUUAUAAUUAUGUUGGUAUUUCUAUUUACUAUUUAAUGGAACUGAAAAAGUGCUAUCAUUUUUAUAUCUGCAUUUCAAUAAGGGGUGAGUACCUUCACGUAACUAUCUGUCAUAUAUGAUCUGCACUAUUUCGGAUAAAGAGACAUUGAGAAAAACAGUAAAGCAGACAAAGAUCCUUUAUAUGAACACACAUUUUUUUUCCUGUUAGCUGUCCAUCUUUU